GUCGAGGGGUAUAGGUUUUCGGACCUAGAGACCGGCGCACGGGUGCGUAACGCGUAUGCAAUCUACCUUUUACAGAGGGAUAGCCCAGAGAAAUUUGGAUUAAUACCUCAUAGUAUUAUUGAAUGGCAUCAUUUAGUAAUUAAAGUCACAACGGUAAAAGAUGAGCAUGCGUCCCAUUAGCUUGUUGGUAAGGUAACGGCUUACCAAGGCAACGAUGGGUAGGGGUCCUGAGAGGGAGAUCCCCCACACUGGUACUGAGACACGGACCAGACUCCUACGGGAGGCAGCAGUGAGGAAUAUUGGUCAAUGGGCGCAAGCCUGAACCAGCCAUGCCGCGUGCAGGAUGACGGUCCUAUGGAUUGUAAACUGCUUUUGUACAGGAAGAAACAUCUCUACGUGUAGAGACUUGACGGUACUGUAAGAAUAAGGAUCGGCUAACUCCGUGCCAGCAGCCGCGGCAAUACGGAGGAUCCAAGCGUUAUCCGGAAUCAUUGGGUUUAAAGGGUCCGUAGGCGGUUUUGUAAGUCAGUGGUGAAAGCCCAUCGCUCAACGGUGGAACGGCCAUUGAUACUGCAAGACUUGAAUUAUUGGGAAGUAACUAGAAUAUGUAGUGUAGCGGUGAAAUGCUUCGAGAUUACAUGGAAUACCAAUUGCGAAGGCAGGUUACUACCAAUAUAUUGACGCUGAUGGACGAAAGCGUGGGGAGCGAACAGGAUUAGAUACCCUGGUAGUCCACGCCGUAAACGAUGGAUACUAGCUGUUCGGAGCAAUCUGAGUGGCUAAGCGAAAGUGAUAAGUAUCC
rnacentral:rRNA from 1 species